GACGAACGCUGGCGGCGUGCUUAACACAUGCAAGUCGAACGGAAAGGCCCUGCUUUUGUGGGGUGCUCGAGUGGCGAACGGGUGAGUAACACGUGAGUAACCUGCCCUUGACUUUGGGAUAACUUCAGGAAACUGGGGCUAAUACCGGAUAGGAGCUCCUGCUGCAUGGUGGGGGUUGGAAAGUUUCGGCGGUUGGGGAUGGACUCGCGGCUCAUCAGCUUGUUGGUGGGGUAGUGGCUUACCAAGGCUUUGACGGGUAGCCGGCCUGAGAGGGUGACCGGCCACAUUGGGACUGAGAUACGGCCCAGACUCCUACGGGAGGCAACAGUGGGGAAUAUUGCACAAUGGGCGGAAGCCUGAUGCAGCAACGCCGCGUGCGGGAUGACGGCCUUCGGGUUGUAAACCGCUUUCGCCUGCGACGAAGCGUGAGUGACGGUAAUGGGUAAAGAAGCACCGGCUAACUACGUG
rnacentral:rRNA from 1 species